AAGAAUUGCCCCAACAAGAAUGAUGAAGUAGUGGAUAAGAAGUUAUGUUACAAUUGUGGGGAAACAAGCCAUUCUUUGGCUAACUGCCCCUAUCCGCUUCAAGAUGGUGGAACAAAGUUUGCCAGUUGCUUUAUUUGUAAAGAACAAGGUCACUUGAGUAAGGACUGCCCUAAAAAUACUCAUGGCAUAUACCCAAAGGGUGGUUGUUGCAAAAUUUGUGGUGGCGUUACACAUUUGGCAAGAGACUGUCCUAAUAAAUCUGGCAAAGCUUCUGAUGCGGCCAUUGGUAGAUUUAAAAUUUCUCAAUUUGAAGACCGGCCAAGGGGACAAGUUACCAAACUCAGCAGUGGGG
rnacentral:misc_RNA from 1 species